UUGUCUGUAUAGCAUAAGGACAGUCCUGCUCACAUUUGUAGCAUCGGAAUUUAUGUAUCCAAGAGACUGAUAAUCAUUGUGUUUCUGUAUUUCAGGCUUUAAUUACGUACCUGAACAGAUCAGUUAAUGCGAUGGCUCAGAUGAAAGAAGCAGUAAACAAUGAGAUGAGAACGCAAGUAGGAAGCUGCAACGCACUACGCGAUAUGACGGGCGCUGCGUUCCUCAUCUCGUGCGGCGUCAUAUCAGAUAGCAUGAAUGGACUGUGGCUCGCAAUGUUGUGCUGUAUCCUGACGCUAACUGUAGCCAUUCCGGCAUCACUCAAAAUGAGCAACUAUUUCCUGAGAACGAAGCAUUAUACAGUCACCGGAAGGUUACUCCGCGGAAGGUGAG